rnacentral:lncRNA from 1 species
CUCAAACCCAUGUUACUCUGCAGUCACUACUCUUUCCUUCCUCCCUGUCUUAGCCCAAUUUCUUGAGUUUCUCUACUUGCUAGCUAUUCUUCCUUACCCCUCUUCAAACCAGCCUCCACCCCCCCGCCCCUCUGCCUAAACUGCCCUAAGCAUAGGAAGAUUGUGCCGCCACAUUCCCAAAGGAAAAAAAUACUCCCUUCAAUAGCCUAAAAAUACUGUCAAUCAAACUUGAAAUCAGCUUUCUAAAUUGUAAGACAUGUCACAGCUCUAGUAGUUCUGAAACAAAUUUUUUAUCAAGAGUAAAAAACGAGCAAAGAUAAAUACUGAAUACUUUGGUAUAACUUAAUUAGUGAUGACACCUCAGUUGAGCCUUCUCUAUGCAGCUGGAGUUUUGCUUUUCUGCUCAAAUGCCCUCUAAUAUUAUAUCCAGCCAAGGUGUCAUUCAAGUAUAAAGACAACAGCUAAAGUGUCCUUAAAGGCAACAGACCAAUACCUGCGCUGUUCUGUUUUGCUUCGUCCACACAGUUUUUAUUCUUCUUCACUCAUUUAACAUUUCAGCCAUGGUAGGCUAUGAAUUCUUUCUUGGUAACUAAAAUUAUUUGUAAACGGUAUUAAAAUAAGUCUCCUUUUUACCUUCUUGGUGGUUUCUCAGUUGUCAUACCCCCAUCUCUCACAAAAAUUAUAAAAGGUUAGAAAGAGUUUAUAAAAAUCUUACCUUAGGGU